rnacentral:rRNA from 1 species
CGAACGCUGGCGGCAGGCUUACCACAUGCACGUCGAGCGCCCCGCAAGGGGAGCGGCAGACGGGUGAGUAACGCGUGGGAACGUACCUUUUGGUUCGGAACAACUCCGGGAAACUGGAGCUAAUACCGGAUAAGCCCUAACGGGGAAAGAUUUAUCGCCGAAAGAUCGGCCCGCGUCUGAUUAGCUAGUUGGUGAGGUAACGGCUCACCAAGGCGACGAUCAGUAGCUGGUCUGAGAGGAUGAUCAGCCACACUGGGACUGAGACACGGCCCAGACUCCUACGGGAGGCAGCAGUGGGGAAUAUUGGACAAUGGGCGCAAGCCUGAUCCAGCCAUGCCGCGUGAGUGAUGAAGGCCUUAGGGUUGUAAAGCUCUUUUGUCCGGGAAGAUAAUGACUGUACCGGAAGAAUAAGCCCCGGCUAACUUCGUG